rfam:Ictidomys tridecemlineatus contig063826, whole genome shotgun sequence.
GUUUGUAGUUCAGUGGUAGAGCACAUGCCUAGCAUGCACGAGACCCUGGGUUCAAUCCCCAGCAACAACA